CCUACGGGAGGCAGCAGUAAGGAAUAUUGGUCAAUGGACGCAAGUCUGAACCAGCCAUGCCGCGUGAAGGAUUAAGGCCCUCUGGGUUGUAAACUUCUUUUAUAGGGGACGAAAAAAGGGCAUUCUUGCUCACUUGACGGUACCCUAGGAAUAAGCACCGGCUAACUCCGUGCCAGCAGCCGCGGUAAUACGGAGGGUGCAAGCGUUAUCCGGAUUUACUGGGUUUAAAGGGUGCGUAGGUGGGUUGGUAAGUCAGUGGUGAAAUCUUCGAGCUUAACUCGGAAACUGCCAUUGAUACUAUCAAUCUUGAAUCAUCUAGAGGUAAGCGGAAUAUGUCAUGUAGCGGUGAAAUGCUUAGAUAUGACAUAGAACACCAAUUGCGAAGGCAGCUUACUAUGGAUGUAUUGACACUGAGGCACGAAAGCGUGGGGAUCAAACAGGAUUAGAUACCCUGGUAGUCCACGCCCUAAACGAUGGAUACUCGACAUUUGUGAUAUACUAUAAGUGUCUGAGCGAAAGCAUUAAGUAUCCACCUGGAAGUACGACCGCAAGGUUGAAACUCAAAUGAAAUUGACGGCUGAGACGAGACGACGACGACGACGAGGGAGGAGG
rnacentral:rRNA from 1 species